rnacentral:rRNA from 1 species
GACGAACGCUGGCGGCGUGCUUAACACAUGCAAGUCGAACGGAAAGGCCCUGCUUUUGUGGGGUGCUCGAGUGGCGAACGGGUGAGUAACACGUGAGUAACCUGCCCUUGACUUUGGGAUAACUUCAGGAAACUGGGGCUAAUACCGGAUAGGAGCUCCUGCUGCAUGGUGGGGGUUGGAAAGUUUCGGCGGUUGGGGAUGGACUCGCGGCUUAUCAGCUUGUUGGUGGGGUAGUGGCUUACCAAGGCUUUGACGGGUAGCCGGCCUGAGAGGGUGACCGGCCACAUUGGGACUGAGAUACGGCCCAGACUCCUACGGGAGGCAGCAGUGGGGAAUAUUGCACAAUGGGCGGAAGCCUGAUGCAGCAACGCCGCGUGCGGGAUGACGGCCUUCGGGUUGUAAACCGCUUUCGCCUGUGACGAGGCGUGAGUGACGGUAAUGGGUAAAGAAGCACCGGCUAACUACGUGCCAGCAGCCGCGGUGAUACGUAGGGUGCGAGCGUUGUCCGGAUUUAUUGGGCGUAAAGGGCUCGUAGGUGGUUGAUCGCGUCGGAAGUGUAAUCUUGGGGCUUAACCCUGAGCGUGCUUUCGAUACGGGUUGACUUGAGGAAGGUAGGGGAGAAUGGAAUUCCUGGUGGAGCGGUGGAAUGCGCAGAUAUCAGGAGGAACACCAGUGGCGAAGGCGGUUCUCUGGCCUUUCCUGACGCUGAGGAGCGAAAGCGUGGGGAGCGAACAGGCUUAGAUACCCUGGUAGUCCACGCUGUAAACGGUGGGUACUAGGUGUGGGGUCCAUUCCACGGGUUCCGUGCCGUAGCUAACGCUUUAAGUACCCCGCCUGGGGAGUACGGCCGCAAGGCUAAAACUCAAAGGAAUUGACGGGGCCCCGCACAAGCGGCGGAGCAUGCGGAUUAAUUCGAUGCAACGCGUAGAACCUUACCUGGGUUUGACAUGGAUCGGGAGUGCUCAGAGAUGGGUGUGCCUCUUUUGGGGUCGGUUCACAGGUGGUGCAUGGCUGUCGUCAGCUCGUGUCGUGAGAUGUUGGGUUAAGUCCCGCAACGAGCGCAACCCUUGUUCACUGUUGCCAGCACGUUAUGGUGGGGACUCAGUGGAGACCGCCGGGGUCAACUCGGAGGAAGGUGGGGAUGACGUCAAGUCAUCAUGCCCCUUAUGUCCAGGGCUUCACGCAUGCUACAAUGGCUGGUACAGAGAGUGGCGAGCCUGUGAGGGUGAGCGAAUCUCGGAAAGCCGGUCUCAGUUCGGAUUGGGGUCUGCAACUCGACCUCAUGAAGUCGGAGUCGCUAGUAAUCGCAGAUCAGCAACGCUGCGGUGAAUACGUUCCCGGGGCUUGUACACACCGCCCGUCA